CUACGGGGGGCACCAGUGAGGAAUAUUGCACAAUGGGGGGAACCCUGAUGCAGCAACGCCGCGUGGAGGAUGACGCAUUUCGGUGUGUAAACUCCUUUUAUAUGUCAAGAAAAUGACGGUAGCAUAUGAAUAAGCACCGGCUAACUCCGUGCCAGCAGCCGCGGUAAUACGGAGGGUGCAAGCGUUACUCGGAAUCACUGGGCGUAAAGGACGCGUAGGCGGGUUGGAAAGUCAGGUGUGAAAUCCUACAGCUUAACUGUAGAACUGCACUUGAAACUUCUAAUCUAGAGUAUGGAGGGGGAGAUGGAAUUAGUGGUGUAGGGGUAAAAUCCGUAGAUAUCACUAGGAAUACCUAAAGCGAAGGCGAUCUCCUGGAACAUUACUGACGCUAAGGCGUGAAAGUGUGGGGAGCAAACAGGAUUAGAUACCCUCGUAGUC
rnacentral:rRNA from 1 species